rnacentral:lncRNA from 1 species
UUGGAUGCUGGGAGCUUCUCUGAGUCCUGUCACCAAAUGUGCCAUGGUCAGGCGUGGUGUGGAGGGCAGGGAUGAGCAAGGCUAGUCCCGGUGCAGGGUAGCGCAGGGCUGCGAGAUAGGCAACAGCGUUCCUUACGUCAGCCCGCGUUUAUUAUGUCAGCACGUAUUCAUUGAGCUCCUCCUCUAUGCUAGGCACACACUGAACGUGCAGUACGUAAUAGUGACGGUGUGGACGUGAGCCCUGUCCUCAAGAUGCUUAGAGUAUGAUGUGGGUGUCAAAAAUAGUGGGAGAGAUAAGGGACAUUCGAUAAGAUAUCCAGCCAGUACAAGGACUGAGAGACUGUCAGAGACCAAAGGAGAUUAAGGAGACGUGAUGACUAAAUGCAAUAUGGUACCCUGGAUUGGAUCCUGGAACAGAAGGAGGACAUUCAUGGAAAAACUGGUGAAAUUCACGUCUGGAAUUUAGUUAACAGUAACGGACCAAUGUUGGAAGCAACAAAACGUGACCCUGGUACCUGUCCGUUGUGAGACCCGGAUGUUCAGCUUUCCUUCUAUUAGAUGAGAUCCCGUAGGUUCACGUGAGACGAGACAUCACAGAUUCGGAGUGCCAGGAAGAGAAUGGAAUGUGUCACCUGUUUGUCCCGCAACGAGAGAGGGCAAAGCACCUUCCAUAAUUAUCCUAUAGAGACUGAAGAACAUCAAGCAAAAUAGAAGAGAAAGAGAAACAGAUUAUUUAGAAGACAAAUUGUGAAUUAACCAAGUAGAGUUUGGACCAUGAGGGGAUCAUUUUCUGAUGAGUGAGAACCAUGGAGAGCAGCCCGGGAUUGUUGACUGGAAUCAGAAAGACCCAGGAGACCUUACCAAGAUCCUGGCCUAGAGGAGAAAGACCAAAGCUUAGCCUGUUUCGCUGCCUGCCACAAUGGAUGCUGAAGAAAAUACUGAAUUUGUGUGCCCAUCUCAGAAGCACAGAGCUCAGAGGGGUAUAAGUGUAAAUUCAAACCCCAGAGACACAAGGGUGCUAAGACCAGACGGGCCCUUGGAGAUCAAUCAAAUAUCCUGUGUUUCUUGAAUGGGCAUAGACACAUAUGUCCAUCCCAUGCCAAAAUUUGAUUAUAUUGCGUCCUACUGCUGUGCGAAUUUUCCUUGGAGGUUGUUAUGUUAGAUUAGAAUAAACACAAACAUACAUGGAUUUUUGUGGUCUCUUGUUUAUCCUUAAGAAGUUUCGCUCCUAAGUUCAGCUGGCUUGAGUUCCAUCUCCAGCUGUUCAAAGUUGACUCCAACACAUUUUAUAGAUGGGAAAACCGAGGCCCAGUGGGAGGAGACCCUUGACCAAGGUCACACAGUGAGCAAAUCUCAGGGCCAAUCCUGCAACCAGGCCGCCUCCUUUUCCAGCCCAAUUAAGAAGGAAAGAAAGAGCUAAGGGAGGACAAAAAUGUGGUGGUGGCUUUGGUUUCCUUUUAUUUUAAAUCAAGAGUAAUUUUUUUUUUCCAGAUCUAUCCUUGGGUUUUUGGUCUGCAGCUCUGAGAAGGUAGAU